UACGUAGGGGGCAAGCGUUGUCCGGAUUUAUUGGGCGUAAAGAGCGUGUAGGCGGCCAUACAGGUCAGCUGUGAAAACUCGAGGCUCAACCUCGAGACGUCGGUUGAAACCGUAUGGCUAGAGUCCGGAAGAGGAGAGUGGAAUUCCCGGUGUAGCGGUGAAAUGCGCAGAUAUCGGGAAGAACACCCGUGGCGAAGGCGGAUCUCUGGGCCAUUACUGACGCUGAGGAGCGAAAAGCGUGGGGAGCCGAACAGG
rnacentral:rRNA from 1 species